rnacentral:rRNA from 1 species
CGAGUCUUAACCGGGCGUUAAGUUGCAGGGUAUAGACCCGAAACCCGGUGAUCUAGCCAUGGGCAGGUUGAAGGUUGGGUAACACUAACUGGAGGACCGAACCGACUAAUGUUGAAAAAUUAGCGGAUGACCUGUGGCUGGGGGUGAAAGGCCAAUCAAACCGGGAGAUAGCUGGUUCUCCCCGAAAGCUAUUUAGGUAGCGCCUCGUGAAUUCAUCUCCGGGGGUAGAGCACUGUUUCGGCUAGGGGGCCAUCCCGGCUUACCAACCCGAUGCAAACUGCGAAUACCGGAGAAUGUUAUCACGGGAGACACACGGCGGGUGCUAACGUCCGUCGUGAAGAGGGAAACAACCCAGACCGCCAGCUAAGGUCCCAAAGUCAUGGUUAAGUGGGAAACGAUGUGGGAAGGCCCAGACAGCCAGGAUGUUGGCUUAGAAGCAGCCAUCAUUUAAAGAAAGCGUAAUAGCUCACUGGUCGAGUCGGCCUGCGCGGAAGAUGUAACGGGGCUAAACCAUGCACCGAAGCUGCGGCAGCGACACUGUGUGUUGUUGGGUAGGGGAGCGUUCUGUAAGCCUGUGAAGGUGUGUCGUGAGGCAUGCUGGAGGUAUCAGAAGUGCGAAUGCUGACAUAAGUAACGAUAAAGCGGGUGAAAAGCCCGCUCGCCGGAAGACCAAGGGUUCCUGUCCAACGUUAAUCGGGGCAGGGUGAGUCGACCCCUAAGGCGAGGCCGAAAGGCGUAGUCGAUGGGAAACGGGUUAAUAUUCCCGUACUUGGUGUUACUGCGAAGGGGGGACGGAGAAGGCUAUGUUGGCCGGGCGACGGUUGUCCCGGUUUAAGCGUGUAGGUGUGUGUUCCAGGUAAAUCCGGUUCACUUUAACACUGAGGCGUGACGACGAGGCACUACGGUGCUGAAGCAACAAAUGCCCUGCUUCCAGGAAAAGCCUCUAAGCAUCAGGUAACAUCAAAUCGUACCCCAAACCGACACAGGUGGUCAGGUAGAGAAUACCAAGGCGCUUGAGAGAACUCGGGUGAAGGAACUAGGCAAAAUGGUGCCGUAACUUCGGGAGAAGGCACGCUGACACGUAGGUGAAGUGAUUUACUCAUGGAGCUGAAGUCAGUCGAAGAUACCAGCUGGCUGCAACUGUUUAUUAAAAACACAGCACUGUGCAAACACGAAAGUGGACGUAUACGGUGUGACGCCUGCCCGGUGCCGGAAGGUUAAUUGAUGGGGUCAGCGCAAGCGAAGCUCCUGAUCGAAGCCCCGGUAAACGGCGGCCGUAACUAUAACGGUCCUAAGGUAGCGAAAUUCCUUGUCGGGUAAGUUCCGACCUGCACGAAUGGCGUAAUGAUGGCCAGGCUGUCUCCACCCGAGACUCAGUGAAAUUGAACUCGCUGUGAAGAUGCAGUGUACCCGCGGCAAGACGGAAAGACCCCGUGAACCUUUACUAUAGCUUGACACUGAACAUUGAGCCUUGAUGUGUAGGAUAGGUGGGAGGCUUUGAAGUGUGGACGCCAGUCUGCAUGGAGCCGACCUUGAAAUACCACCCUUUAAUGUUUGAUGUUCUAACGUGGACCCGUUACCCGGGUUGCGGACAGUGUCUGGUGGGUAGUUUGACUGGGGCGGUCUCCUCCUAAAGAGUAACGGAGGAGCACGAAGGUUGGCUAAUCCUGGUCGGACAUCAGGAGGUUAGUGCAAUGGCAUAAGCCAGCUUGACUGCGAGCGUGACGGCGCGAGCAGGUGCGAAAGCAGGUCAUAGUGAUCCGGUGGUUCUGAAUGGAAGGGCCAUCGCUCAACGGAUAAAAGGUACUCCGGGGAUAACAGGCUGAUACCGCCCAAGAGUUCAUAUCGACGGCGGUGUUUGGCACCUCGAUGUCGGCUCAUCACAUCCUGGGGCUGAAGUAGGUCCCAAGGGUAUGGCUGUUCGCCAUUUAAAGUGGUACGCGAGCUGGGUUUAGAACGUCGUGAGACAGUUCGGUCCCUAUCUGCCGUGGGCGCUGGAGAACUGAGGGGGGCUGCUCCUAGUACGAGAGGACCGGAGUGGACGCAUCACUGGUGUUCGGGUUGUCAUGCCAAUGGCACUGCCCGGUAGCUAAAUGCGGAAGAGAUAAGUGCUGAAAGCAUCUAAGCACGAAACUUGCCCCGA